rnacentral:rRNA from 1 species
AUGGUGUCGGGCGGGUGCGUGGGGACGGAAGGGGGCGCGGAGCCGGAGGAGUCCGCGGCGGUAGCGGCGGAGGAGCAGGUGAUGCCGGCGACGGCGCCCGCGCGCGCCAGGGAGCUGGUGGUCGGGUACGCGCUCACGUCCAAGAAGGCCAAGAGCUUCCUCCAGCCCAAGCUCCGGGGGCUCGCCAGGAAGAAAGGCAUUCAAUUUGUUGCAAUUGAUCAAAAGCUUCCACUGUCAGAUCAAGGCCCUUUUGAUGUUAUUCUGCAUAAGUUGACUGGAAAGGAGUGGCAACGACGGUUGGAGGAAUAUAGAGAGACACACCCAGAAGUUACUGUUCUUGACCCACCAGGUGCCAUAGAACAUUUGCUGAACCGCCAAUCUAUGCUUCAAGAAGUUUCUAAACUGGACCUUGCGGAUUGUCAUGGUAAAGUUGGUGUUCCGAAGCAGCUAUUUGUUAACACAGACCCAUUGUCAAUACCAGCUGCGGUUAUGAGGGCUGGGCUAUCGCUUCCAUUAGUGGCGAAGCCUCUGGUGGCGAAGUCUCAUGAGUUGUCUCUUGCUUAUGACGCAGCUUCCUUGACGAAGCUUGAGCCUCCGUUGGUUCUUCAGGAAUUUGUUAACCAUGGCGGCGUCUUAUUUAAGGUCUACAUUGUUGGGGAUGCAAUUAGGGUAGUGCGUAGGUUCUCACUGCCUAACGUGGAUGAGGGUGAUCUGUCAAAUAACGCCGGAGUGUUCCGGUUUCCGAGGGUCUCUUGUGCUGCAGCCACUGCGGAGGAUGCAGAUCUUGACCCGCAUGUUGCUGAACUUCCUCCAAGGCCACUGCUUGAGAUAUUGGCAAGAGAGCUGCGCCGCCGACUGGGUCUUAGGCUAUUCAACAUAGAUAUGAUCAGAGAGCAUGGGACAAGGGAUCGGUUUUAUGUUAUAGACAUGAACUAUUUUCCUGGGUAUGGUAAGAUGCCUGGAUACGAGCAUGUUUUCACCGACUUCCUGCUGAGCCUAGACCAGCAGAAGGAGUACAAGCGACGACCGGGCUAUACCUCGGGCGAGGGCUGA